ACGCUGGCGGCGUGCCUAAUACAUGCAAGUAGAACGCUGAAGAGAGGAGCUUGCUCUUCUUGAAUGAGUUGCGAACGGGUGAGUAACGCGUAGGUAACCUGCCUUGUAGCGGGGGAUAACUAUUGGAAACGAUAGCUAAUACCGCAUAACAAUGGGUGACACAUGUCAUUUAUUUGAAAGGGGCAAUUGCUCCACUACAAGAUGGACCUGCGUUGUAUUAGCUAGUAGGUGAGGUAACGGCUCACCUAGGCGACGAUACAUAGCCGACCUGAGAGGGUGAUCGGCCACACUGGGACUGAGACACGGCCCAGACUCCUACGGGAGGCAGCAGUAGGGAAUCUUCGGCAAUGGGGGCAACCCUGACCGAGCAACGCCGCGUGAGUGAAGAAGGUUUUCGGAUCGUAAAGCUCUGCUGUAAGUCAAGAACGAGUGUGAGAGUGGAAAGUUCACACUGUGACGGUAGCUUACCAGAAAGGGACGGCUAACUACGCGCCAGCAGCCGCGGUAAUACGUAGGUCCCGAGCGUUGUCCGGAUUUAUUGGGCGUAAAGCGAGCGCAGGCGGUUUGAUAAGUCUGAAGUUAAAGGCUGUGGCUCAACCAUAGUUCGCUUUGGAAACUGUCAAACUUGAGUGCAGAAGGGGAGAGUGGAAUUCCAUGUGUAGCGGUGAAAUGCGUAGAUAUAUGGAGGAACACCGGUGGCGAAAGCGGCUCUCUGGUCUGUAACUGACGCUGAGGCUCGAAAGCGUGGGGAGCGAACAGGAUUAGAUACCCUGGUAGUCCACGCCGUAAACGAUGAGUGCUAGGUGUUGGAUCCUUUCCGGGAUUCAGUGCCGCAGCUAACGCAUUAAGCACUCCGCCUGGGGAGUACGACCGCAAGGUUGAAACUCAAAGGAAUUGACGGGGGCCCGCA
rnacentral:rRNA from 1 species